AACCGACACCAGCCAUGUGCUCUAAGUUGACGUCCUCUGAUGAUGAUUAUUUACAAGAAGAAGAGUCGAGUCUGUGUAAACUUUUUUACACCCAAGCGACAGGUCUUGUCGAGGAGAGUAUCGCUUUUUUUCUUUUUUUUCUUUUUUCUAAUCAAUUAUAUCGAAAUCACAACAACAUACGAUCGAUCGAUUUGAUUCGAAUUCGUGGUACAUAUACAUACAUAUACAUAUAUAUAUAUAUAUGUAUUGUUAUUAAAUUGAGAUGGAAUUACGCGGUUUAGAAAACGUGAAGAUCGUUAACGUGAUCAGUGUUCCCUUAAUUGAUUAAGGGGACAAUGUAGCUCGUUAACAGGAGCAACGAUUCGCGUCGUACGCUCGCUGUGAUUUCUAUCUAAAAAAUAAUUUUGUAAUAACAAAAGAGAAAGAGAGAGAGAGAAACAUAUAUAUAUAUGUAUAUGUAUGUAUAUAUAAAGCGACGAUAUUAUUUUACAGUACGUGCACGAAACGUCGUGUCUUUCCAACGAAAAAGAGAGAGAGAGAGACAAACUAGCGAAACUCAUUCCUUCACGAAAUUCUAUUAUUGUGUAUUUAAAAAGGAGGAAGAGACAAACUCUCUGUGUUUUGCUCCGCGUCAUGCUCAGCGAUGUACAAUCUACAGCAUAUGAAAGUCUCGGAAACUCUUGUCUUGUUCCUGUUGUGCGGGACCGUUUCGAGUAAUCAUCGAUCAAUUGCUUUCUAAUUCGGGUUUCUUAAUUUCGGAAAUAAUCAGGUAAAUCGGUGUGUUGAAGCGGAAAUGACCGUAAUUAACAAGGGAGAAACAAGGUGUUUCGUAUACCGCAAUAGUGUUUGGGAUACCGCACAUACCUGCAUGGGACUGCUUUGGUUAUCAACCUUGUCGAUACCGUCCACGGAUUGUUGGGGACCCCCUAAAAGAGCGGUGAGCACCCUCAACCCCACAGACAGCAAAUUUGCCCAGGGGCUGGCAGGUGCACCAUCGUCGAUCUCGUUCUUGCUAGGACCUGUCACUCCUCCCGUUUGACCCAGGAUCAUCUGCAUCAGCAUGCUCAACAUGUUCGACCACGAGAACCCGGUACUGCUACCUUCCUGAUCAAACAGGAGGAAAGGAUUCAUCAUCAAGAAUUUGAGGAUGAAGAUUUUGAGGAGAUGAAAGGAAGGGAAAUGAUUAAAUAAUAUUGUUGAAAUAUCGUAGAAAUUUAUAGA